rnacentral:piRNA from 1 species
UAUAUGGUGGAUAUGUGAAG